GACGAACGCUGGCGGCGUGCUUAACACAUGCAAGUCGAACGGAAAGGCCCUGCUUGCAGGGUCCUCGAGUGGCGAACGGGUGAGUAACACGUGGGUGAUCUGCCCUGCACUUCGGGAUAAGCCUGGGAAACUGGGUCUAAUACCGGAUAGGAGCCAUUUUUAGUGUGAUGGUUGGAAAGUUUUUUCGGUGUAGGAUGAGCUCGCGGCCUAUCAGCUUGUUGGUGGGGUAAUGGCCUACCAAGGCGGCGACGGGUAGCCGGCCUGGGAGGGUGGACGGCCACAUUGGGACUGAGAUACGGCCCAGACUCCUACGGGAGGCAGCAGUGGGGAAUAUUGCACAAUGGGCGCAAGCCUGAUGCAGCGACGCCGCGUGGGGGAUGACGGCCUUCGGGUUGUAAACUCCUUUCGCUAGGGACGAAGCUUUUUGUGACGGUACCUAGAUAAGAAGCACCGGCUAACUACGUG
rnacentral:rRNA from 1 species